rnacentral:rRNA from 1 species
GAUGAACGCUAGCUACAGGCUUAACACAUGCAAGUCGAGGGGCAGCGGUAUCGAAAGCUUGCUUUCGGUAGCCGGCGACCGGCGCACGGGUGAGUAACGCGUAUCGAACCUGCCUCAUACUCGGGAAUAGCCUUGCGAAAGUAAGAUUAAUGCCCGGUGUUUUCAGAGUCCCGCAUGAGGCUUUGAACAAAGAUUUAUCGGUAUGAGAUGGCGAUGCGUCCCAUUAGCUUGUUGGCGGGGUAACGGCCCACCAAGGCAUCGAUGGGUAGGGGUUCUGAGAGGAAGGUCCCCCACAUUGGAACUGAGACACGGUCCAAACUCCUACGGGAGGCAGCAGUGAGGAAUAUUGGUCAAUGGGCGGAAGCCUGAACCAGCCAAGUAGCGUGCAGGAAGACGGCCCUCCGGGUUGUAAACUGCUUUUAGUUGGGAAUAAAACGGGGCUCGUGAGCCCCCUUGCAUGUACCAUCAGAAAAAGGACCGGCUAAUUCCAUG